rnacentral:lncRNA from 1 species
AUGAGUAGUAAAGUGCCUGAUCUGUCCUUUGCCAUCCCUGGAAGUGGAAGGCUACAGUCCAGAGCGGGUGAGAGAACAAGCAGAAGAGAUUCCACUGGUGCCAGACCUCACUGCUCCAUGGGGAGUAUUGCUUCCCUGUGGUUGGAUGACUCAACUCCAUACCAGCAUCUCAGGCUGCCUGCUGGCCAUCUGUGCCUAAAUAUCCCACAGGCACCUCCGGCAUAACAUGUCCCAAACGGAACCAGCAGCCCCGACCUCUGUUCCUGCUGGUUCCCCAGCCCCAGAGUGAGUGACUCAGCUGUCUCUCCUGUCAUCUUGCCUGAAUGGGAGACAAGAUCUCAAGGGGUGGCUUCCUCUUCCUUCAGCCUCUGGGACGAAGAGGCUGCCUCUAUGCUGUCUCCUGUCUGUCCUUGUCUCUCUAUCCUUGCUACCACCACCAUCCCCUUGCUUCCCCACCUUUCAGAGACUCCAGCUGAGUGUCCCUAACUGGAGGCUCCCCUCUAAUCCUUUUUUUUUUGAUACCAGGGAUCGAACUCAGGACCUUGUGCUUUCGAGGCAGGCACAGAACCACUUUCCCCACCUUUCAGAGACUCCAGCUGAGUGUCCCUAACUGGAGGCUCCCCUCUAAUCCUUUUUUUUUUGAUACCAGGGAUCGAACUCAGGACCUUGUGCUUUCGAGGCAGGCAGCAGAACCACUGAGCUAAAUCCCUGGCCCUCCCUCCAAUCCUUUUAAAGGGCAAAUAUAAAGACAUCAUUUUCUGCGGAACAUCUUCCAAGGUUCACCACUACCCACUGAGAAAGCCAAGCUCCUUGAGGCCAUCUGGGCUGCCAACCUGCUGUGCUUCUUCCAUACGUGGCCUCCUUCCUUGGCAUGGCAUGUUUUCACUACAUCCACCAGUGACUCAGCUUCAUCCUCAGUUUGUGAUCACUUCAUUUACCUUGUCCUAGCUCCCGAGCUCUGGGCAGGGAUGGCCUGUCUCCCCCAACAGGGAGCUGUCAGUUCCUUGAGUGCAGCACUGUUGCCUGUUGUUGCACCCUAACCACUGAACUUUCACCCUAGUCCCCUCCCUCACUACCACUUUACAUUGAAGGACCAGGAAGUUCUUAAAACUGAAUAGGAUUUUCUCUCUCCUUCUGUCACAGAGAAAGAAUAAAAACCUGGAAUGCAAAGGGCAGCUCAGUUGAACAGGAAUCUUUUCACCUAAUCAAGCGCACAGCGUGACUAUGUGUGUGCGUGGGGGGUGGCAUGUGCCCUAGGGUCCACUACGUGGUGCACAGUUUGAUCAUCUUUAAGGGUGAAGAGGAUGUCAGUACCUGUGUUCCCCUGGGAGGAACAGACUUUGGUCUGGAACAGGGGAAAGUGACCAAGAUCAGGGGCAACUGAUUUCAGGGGAGGCAGGACUAGGAAGAGGCCAGGUGUUCCACACU